rnacentral:tRNA from 1 species
GUGGGCGUCUUCUAAUGGUUAGGAAAUCUCGUUGUGGUCCUGUCGGAGCCGUGAAAAUGUUGGUUCGAUUCCGGCCGCCCACA